AGCAUUGUUCUUUGGCAGCCUAUGGAUGCCUAGAAUGUGGACUUUGCUAUCUUCAAAAAAGUGAGCUUGGUCUUUCAAAAAUACAGAUGGACUGUUGAAUCUCGUGCUGAUGGGUUUGUUUUCCUGUGUUGUCCCUUGCAUUUGUGAAGUGGUUGUUUUGUUUCUCCAAUGAACAGCAGUAAGCAGACAGCUAACAAUGAUUAGCAGUCUGAAAUGAAUCAAGAUUUGGGAACCUAAGCCAUGCUUAGGAUGGAACAGAACAUCAAGACAGAAGAUUGGACCAUGGAACAAAUCGGAGAUCACGAGCAAAGAAAAAUCAAGGACUGGAACAUACCAGAGGAGGAGUUGCAGUGACUUCCCUGAAAGAUACAUGUACAGAAAGACUUUAAAAUACUUAGUGGU